rnacentral:tRNA from 1 species
GGGAAUGCAUGGGCGCCUGGUGGGCUCCGCAGACUUCAAAUCUGUUGUGUCCCGACAAUAGUCGGGAUAGGUGGGUUCGAUUCCCACACAUUCCCG